UUUUUCCUACGGGGGGCAGCAGUGGGGAAUAUUGCACAAUGGGGGAAACCCUGAUGCAGCAACGCCGCGUGAGUGAAGAAGUAUUUCGGUAUGUAAAGCUCUAUCAGCAGGGAAGAGAAUGACGGUACCUGACUAAGAAGCCCCGGCUAACUACGUGCCAGCAGCCGCGGUAAUACGUAGGGGGCAAGCGUUAUCCGGAUUUACUGGGUGUAAAGGGAGCGUAGACGGCUGUACAAGUCUGAAGUGAAAGCCCGUGGCUCAACCGCGGAACUGCUUUGGAAUCUGUAAAGCUGGAGUACUGGAGG
rnacentral:rRNA from 1 species